AGCGAACGUUAGCGGCGGGCCUAACACAUGCAAGUCGAACGCGAAAGGUCUUCGGACUGAGUAGAGUGGCGCACGGGUGAGUAACACGUAGGUAAUCUACCCUUUGGCGGGGGAUAACGUUCCGAAAGGAGCGCUAAUACCGCAUAAGACCACGGAGUCUCCGGACGCUGUGGGAAAAGGUGGCCUCUUCUUGAAAGCUACCACCGAAGGAUGAGCCUGCGUCCCAUCAGCUAGUUGGUAAGGUAAUGGCUUACCAAGGCGAAGACGGGUAGCUGGUUUGAGAGAAUGAUCAGCCACACUGGCACUGGAACACGGGCCAGACUCCUACGGGAGGCAGCAGUGAGGAAUAUUGGGCAAUGGGCGAAAGCCUGACCCAGCCACGCCGCGUGAGUGAUGAAGGCCCUCGGGUCGUAAAGCUCUGUGGAGAGGGACGAAAACCCUGGUUCAAAUAGGCUCCAGGCUUGACGGUACCUCUUUAGCAAGCACCGGCUAACUCUGUGCCAGCAGCCG
rnacentral:rRNA from 1 species